CUCUCUCACUGGCAGCAACCCAGCGCUUCCAUUGCUGACCUCUACCGACCUCUACCUGUGGUCCUUCCUCUACUGCAGCAGAGACACUGUUUUCUUCCUUUGUUCUUCCAACCCCAUGGCACAGAAACACUCUCCACUGCGGCCAAGGAUUGCAGGAGAGGUGGCAUCAGUGAUUCAAGACUUCUUUUCCUACCUCUUCAGUGUUUCUUUCAGUGAUCUGAAGUUAAAGCCAGGUACCAUAAGUGCUCACCUGAUUUUUGCUGCUUACAAAGGUGCUUUUUUGGUGUGGAUUGUUGUUACAUUGGUGUCCUUGCAA
rnacentral:lncRNA from 10 species